rnacentral:tRNA from 2 species
AGGGGAGUAGCUCAGUUGGUAGAGCGGCGGUCUCCAAAACCGUAGGUCGCAGGUUCGAUCCCUGUCUCCCCUG